UGUGUGUGUGUGAUGUGUGUGUGUGUGUGUGUGUAUAUGUGUGUGUGUGUGUGUGUGUGUGUGGUUGCUCUCUAAUUGGAUUGCAAUGUUUUUGUCAGUCCCUUCCUCUACCAGUCCCUUUGUGAGAGAAGAGGAAGUGUGUGUGUGUGUGUGUGUGUGUUGACUUUGGGUUAGGUUUAAGUGUGUGUAUGUUGGUUUAAGUGUGUGUGUGUGUGUGUGUGUGUUGGUUUAAGUUGUGCUUGCUGUUGCCGUCUCUGUCCUCCCAAAAAUGUUCCCAGGGGAAUCAGGACUCAGUUGUCUCAAUUCACAUUGAAAUGAGUGCACUGUAGUGUGUGUGUGUGUGUGUGUGUGUGUGUGUAGUAGAGAUGCGCGGAUGGACUAUUAUUUCAACCGUAACCGCAUAGCAAAACUUAUCAUCCAUCCGCACCAACGUUU